rnacentral:rRNA from 1 species
CAGGUUACGCUGGCGGCGCGCAUAACACAUGCAAGUCGAGCGAGGGCUUAUUUCUCGCAAGAGAGAUAAGUUCCUAGCGGCGAACGGGUGAGUAACACGUGGGCAGCCUUUCCUAUCGCGGGGGAUAACAGCGGGAAACCGCUGCUAAUACCGCAUGUCGUCACCGGUCGCAUGGCUGGUGAAGAAAGCAGCAAUGCACGAUGGGGUGGGGCCCGCGGCCUAUCAGCUAGUCGGUGGGGUAACGGCCUACCGAGGCGAUGACGGGUAGCUGGUCUGAGAGGACGGCCAGCCACACGGGGACUGAGACACGGCCCCGACUCCUACGGGAGGCAGCAGUGAGGAAUCUUCCGCAAUGGGCGAAAGCCUGACGGAGCGACGCCGCGUGUGCGAUGAAGUCCUUCGGGAUGUAAAGCACUGUCGGAGGGGAAGACAAAAAAGACGGUACCCUCCAAGAAAGGCCCGGCUAACUACGUG